UGGGGAAUAUUGCACAAUGGGCGCAAGCCUGAUGCAGCCAUGCCGCGUGUGUGAAGAAGGCCUUCGGGUUGUACAGCACUUUCAGCGAGGAGGAAGGGUAGUGUGUUAAUAGCACAUUGCAUUGACGUUACUCGCAGAAGAAGCACCGGCUAACUCCGUGCCAGCAGCCGCGGUAAUACGGAGGGUGCAAGCGUUAAUCGGAAUUACUGGGCGUAAAGUGCACGCAGGCGGUUUGUUAAGUCAGAUGUGAAAUCCCCGCGCUUAACGUGGGAACUGCAUUUGAAACUGGCAAGCUAGAGUCUUGUAGAGGGGGGUAGAAUUCCAGGUGUAGCGAUGAAAUGCGUAGAGAUCUGGAGGAAUACCGGUGGCGAAGGCGGCCCCCUGGACAAAGACUGACGCUCAGGUGCGAAAGCGUGGGGAGCAAACA
rnacentral:rRNA from 1 species